rnacentral:rRNA from 1 species
UGGGUGACCUGCCCUCGGCUCCGGGAUAACUCCGGGAAACCGGUGCUAAUACCGGAUGGCCUCCGACGCUUUCGGGCGACGGAGAAAAGGUAGCUUCGGCUUCCGACCGAGGAUGGGCCCGCGGCCGAUUAGCUUGUUGGUGGGGUAAAGGCCCACCAAGGCGACGACGGGUAGCCGGCCUGAGAGGGCGACCGGCCACACUGGGACUGAGACACGGCCCAGACUCCUACGGGAGGCAG